rnacentral:rRNA from 1 species
AGAAACGAACGCUGGCGGCAGGCUUAACACAUGCAAGUCGAACGCCCCGCAAGGGGAGUGGCAGACGGGUGAGUAACGCGUGGGAAUCUACCUGGUUCUACGGAAUAACUGAGGGAAACUUCAGCUAAUACCGUAUACGCCCUAAGGGGGAAGAUUUAUCGGUGCCAGAUGAGCCCGCGUUGGAUUAGCUAGUUGGUGGGGUAAUGGCCUACCAAGGCGACGAUCCAUAGCUGGUCUGAGAGGAUGAUCAGCCACACUGGGACUGAGACACGGCCCAGACUCCUACGGGAGGCAGCAGUGGGGAAUAUUGGACAAUGGGCGAAAGCCUGAUCCAGCCAUGCCGCGUGAGUGAUGAAGGCCUUAGGGUUGUAAAGCUCUUUCAGUGGGGAAGAUAAUGACGGUACCCACAGAAGAAGCCCCGGCUAACUUCGCGCCAGCAGCCGC